AUUGAACGCUGGCGGCAUGCCUUACACAUGCAAGUCGAGCGGUAACAGGUCUUCGGAUGCUGACGAGUGGCGAACGGGUGAGUAAUACAUCGGAACGUGCCUAGUAGUGGGGAUAACUACUCGAAAGAGUGGCUAAUACCGCAUGAGAUCUACGGAUGAAAGCAGGGGAUCGCAAGACCUUGUGCUACUAGAGCGGCCGAUGGAAGAUUAGGUAGUUGGUGGGAUAAAAGCUUACCGGGCCGACGAUCUGUAGCUGGUCUGAGAGGACGAUCAGCCACACUGGGACUGAGACACGGCCCAGACUCCUACGGGAGGCAGCAGUGGGGAAUGUUGGACAAUGGGCGAAAGCCUGAUCCAGCAAUGCCGCGUGCAGGAUGAAGGCCUUCGGGUUGUAAACUGCUUUUGUACGGAACGAAAAGCCCCGGGUUAAUACCCUGGGGUCAUGACGGUACCGUAAGAAUAAGCACCGGCUAACUACGUGCCAGCCGCUGCCGUAA
rnacentral:rRNA from 1 species